AUUUCAGAAUAUGGAACCUCCCUUCAUGAGCCUUUGUCUUGGUCGUUGAAGAGAUUUGCUUCAAAUUCCAUGCAACUAUGAACCUUCGAUGUUCUGCCUGACGUUAUCGAAAAAUUGUUCACCAACUAUGCUGCAACAAAAUUCCCUCUGAAUUGUUGAAACAGACGUAGAUGAAUAUCUUCAAUA
rnacentral:lncRNA from 1 species